rnacentral:rRNA from 1 species
ACUCCUACGGGAGGCAGCAGUGGGGAAUAUUGCACAAUGGGGGAAACCCUGAUGCAGCCAUGCCGCGUGUGUGAAGAAGGCCUUCGGGUUGUAAAGCACUUUCAGUAGGGAGGAAGGUAGUGUAGUUAACACCUGCACUAUUUGACGUUACCUACAGAAGAAGCACCGGCUAACUCCGUGCCAGCAGCCGCGGUAAUACGGAGGGUGCGAGCGUUAAUCGGAAUUACUGGGCGUAAAGCGCAUGCAGGCGGCCUGUUAAGUCAGAUGUGAAAGCCCGGGGCUUAACUCGGAAUUGCAUUUGAAACUGGCAGGCUAGAGUCUUGUAGAGGGGGGUAGAAUUUCAGGUGUAGCGGUGAAAUGCGUAGAGAUCUGAAGGAAUACCAGUGGCGAAGGCGGCCCCCUGGACAAAGACUGACGCUCAGAUGCGAAAAGCGUGGGGAGCAAACAGGAUUAGAUA